CAGAUCGGAAAUAGCUAACACUACAUUAAAGGGGGACUAUUCUUUGUAACAACGCCAUUGUUGAUAGAGUGAUGAUGACGUUUAGUGUCGUUUUCUACAGACUUGCUGCCGACAAAACUGUUUGUUAAACAUUUUACAUCUGUCUCGAAUGUCUUUAUUCUUUUGUAUUCGUCAAAAUAACAAAAUGAAGGCAGUUCACGUAUUUCUCUGGUACUUUGUUUCCAUGCAAUUUCUGUCACUUUAAACACAUCCAGCGGGACCACCUUCAACAAAGCUUAAUUGAAAAAUAGCUCUCAUUAAGUCACUUGUGUUUGCUUGCAACAGCAUCAAGCCCUCACGGGUAUUGAAUGGAAAGAUCGAAUGUGUACUUAGGAAAUUAUCCCAGGUGAAAACUCGUAUCGGGUACAGUGAAGCUGAACAGUAAUAAAAAUCGCUCGUAUCCUGUUGUCAACAAACGAAAUAAAAAUAUUUAAAAAAAAUAAUAAUCAUUACUUCGAUUUAAAUAAAUUAUCUAAAUAUUUCACAAGAAGUAGAACGCAAUUUGUA